rnacentral:rRNA from 1 species
UACGAAGGGGGCUAGCGUUGUUCGGAAUUACUGGGCGUAAAGCGAGUGUAGGUGGUUGUCCAAGUUGGAUGUGAAAGCCUUGAGCUCAACUCAAGAAAUGCAUUCAGGACUGGGUGACUAGAGGACCGGAGAGGAUAGUGGAAUUCCCAGUGUAGUGGUGAAAUACGUAGAGAUUGGGAAGAACACCAGUGGCGAAGGCGGCUAUCUGGACGGUUUCUGACACUAAGACUCGAAAGCGUGGGGAGCAAACAGG